UCGGACGUAGCGCACGGUGCGCAUCCGCCGUCAGUUGAAGGGUCGUUUGUUGGGCAUUGUUAACAGAAGGACGGGGUUCGACUCCCCGCGUCCGAA